rnacentral:rRNA from 1 species
AGAGUUUGAUCCUGGCUCAGGACGAACGCUGGCGGCGUGCCUAAUACAUGCAAGUAGAGCGCUGAAGGGAGGAGCUUGCUCUUUCCGGAUGAGUUGCGAACGGGUGAGUAACGCGUAGGUAACCUGCCUGGUAGCGGGGGAUAACUAUUGGAAACGAUAGCUAAUACCGCAUAACAGUAGAUAUCGCAUGAUAGCUGCUUGAAAGGUGCAAUUGCACCACUACCAGAUGGACCUGCGUUGUAUUAGCUAGUUGGUGGGGUAACGGCUCACCAAGGCAACGAUACAUAGCCGACCUGAGAGGGUGAUCGGCCACACUGGGACUGAGACACGGCCCAGACUCCUACGGGAGGCAGCAGUAGGGAAUCUUCGGCAAUGGACGGAAGUCUGACCGAGCAACGCCGCGUGAGUGAAGAAGGUUUUCGGAUCGUAAAGCUCUGUUGUAAGAGAAGAACGAGUGUGAGAGUGGAAAGUUCACACUGUGACGGUAUCUUACCAGAAAGGGACGGCUAACUACGUGCCAGCAGCCGCGGUAAUACGUAGGUCCCGAGCGUUGUCCGGAUUUAUUGGGCGUAAAGCGAGCGCAGGCGGUUAGAUAAGUCUGAAGUUAAAGGCUGUGGCUUAACCAUAGUACGCUUUGGAAACUGUUUAACUUGAGUGCAAGAGGGGAGAGUGGAAUUCCAUGUGUAGCGGUGAAAUGCGUAGAUAUAUGGAGGAACACCGGUGGCGAAAGCGGCUCUCUGGCUUGUAACUGACGCUGAGGCUCGAAAGCGUGGGGAGCAAACCAGGAUUAGAUACCCUGGUAGUCCACGCCGUAAACG